AAGUCGUAACAAGGUUUCCGUAGGUGAACCUGCGGAAGGAUCACUGGUAGAGAGAGAGUGGGUGGGGGGGAGAAGUGGGGAGGUUUUUGGAGAAAGUGGGGAGAUGGAGGUGGAGAUGGAUAUGAGAUUGAUUUAAACGUCAUUUCAUUCCAUCACCAUUUCCUUCACCAUCUCUUUCACCACACACCCCACAUACAGCCCUCACCACAUUAUCACGCUUGUUUGUUUGACUGUACAUUGACACAAAAAAUCACAACUUUUAACAAUGGAUCUCUUGGCUCUU
rnacentral:misc_RNA from 1 species